AGCGAAUGCUGGCGGCAGGCCUAACACAUGCAAGUCGAACGAAGCCUUCGGGCUUAGUGGCGGACGGGUGAGUAACACGUGGGAACGUACCUUUUGGUUCGGAACAACUCAGGGAAACUUGAGCUAAUACCGGAUGAGCCCUUAGGGGGAAAGAUUUAUCGCCGAAAGAGCGGCCCGCGUUAGAUUAGCUAGUUGGUGAGGUAAAGGCUCACCAAGGCAACGAUCUAUAGCUGGUCUGAGAGGAUGAUCAGCCACACUGGGACUGAGACACGGCCCAGACUCCUACGGGAGGCAGCAGUGGGGAAUCUUGCGCAAUGGGCGAAAGCCUGACGCAGCCAGGCCGCGCGAAUGAUGAAGGUCUUAGGAUUGUAAAAUUCUUUUACCAGGGACGAUAAUGACGGUACCUGGAGAAAAAGCCCCGGCUAACUUCGUGCCAGCCGCCGCGGUAAUAC
rnacentral:rRNA from 1 species